UUAAUAACGAUGCGUAAGACAAGUAGAAGGUCAAGUCAGCGAGCAAGUGGUUGGUGGGAACUUGCAUGGACUUUUGAAGUAACUUACAAGUUGGUUGGGUGAAGUGAGUAGCCUGACCUGGUCACUAGGCCAUUAACCUGUUUGAGCGAUGCCAAAAUUGGCAUAAGUUAGGUGGUACCGCGAGUUUAACUCGUCCUAUAA
rnacentral:ncRNA from 1 species